GCAUGGAGCUCACCACCACUUCUAAGUAUUAAAUUCCUAACUCUGACAACUUAGCGACUGUGAGGCAUCCAGGGGCGAGUUACUAGGAGAAGUUGACAAACAUCCUCUUAAAGAGGCAUAUGAUCCUGAGGACUGCAUUGCAUCUGCAUAUAACUCUUUAAUACCUCACUGUGACGGCAAAAUAGAACUUAAGGAGACACUGUUGUAUCUACUGUUGCUUUGACUACUUUUGAAGAACUAAAUUAAUUUGCACCUAACAAGAAUAUAUUCAAAUGGCUUUCAUUUCAAUAAAGAAGCUGGUUUGCACCACCCCUUCCAAAGAAAGGAGCUGAAUUUUACCAACUAUAAAGACUGCCGAAUUGGGAGCGGUGUGUGACAUGAUUAUUGUUGAGGACUUCUCCUGGGUCAGUUUUUCUUUCAUCUAUGCUAGUAGAGUCUCACUGGAUAGCAGAAUCAUAUUUUUAGAAAAUUACCUUUAAAAAACUAAAGUUUGCAACAUAGAAAAACAAAAAAAGGUGUGUGU